GGGCCGGUAGCUCAGUUGGGAGAGCGCCUGAAUGGCAUUCAGGAGGUCGUGGGUUCGAUUCCCUUCCGGUCCACCA
rnacentral:tRNA from 1 species